rnacentral:rRNA from 1 species
GGACCUCCGUCCCUGUGCCUCUGGUGCUUGGAUGGAACCCCUUAAGCAGGUGAAACUUCUUAGAGGAACUGGCGUUCAAAUAGACGCACGAGAAAGAGCAAUAACAGGUCUGUGAUGCCCUAAGAUGUCCGGGGCCGCACGCGUGCUACAAUGACGAUUGUACUGAGCAUGAUUUACUGGUCCGCAAGGAUUGGUGAAACUGUUCAAUCAUCGUCGUGACUGGGAUUGGGGUUUGUAAUUAUCCCCCAUGAACCAGGAAUUCCUAGUAAGCACAAGUCAUAAGCUUGUGCUGACUACGUCCCUGCCCUUUGUACACACCGCCCGUCGCUACUACCGAUUGAAUGGUUUAGCAAGGACAUUGGAUCGAGUCUUUGCGGUUCACGCUGCUUUGGCUUGAGAAGAUGUCCGAACUUGAUCAUUUAGAGGAAGUAAAAGUCGUAACAAGGUUUCCGUAGGUGAACCUGCGGAAGGAUCAUUA